rnacentral:rRNA from 1 species
AGUGAACGCUGGCGGUAGGCCUAACACAUGCAAGUCGAACGGCAGCACAGUAAGAGCUUGCUCUUACGGGUGGCGAGUGGCGGACGGGUGAGGAACACAUCGGAAUCUACUUUUUCGUGGGGGAUAACGUAGGGAAACUUACGCUAAUACCGCAUACGACCUACGGGUGAAAGCAGGGGAUCUUCGGACCUUGCGCGAUUGAAUGAGCCGAUGUCGGAUUAGCUAGUUGGCGGGGUAAAGGCCCACCAAGGCGACGAUCCGUAGCUGGUCUGAGAGGAUGAUCAGCCACACUGGAACUGAGACACGGUCCAGACUCCUACGAGAGGCAGCAGUGGGGAAUAGUGGACAAUGGGCGCAAGCCUGAUCCAGCCAUACCGCGUGGGUGAAGAGGGCCUUCGGGUUGUAAAGCCCUUUUGUUGGGAAAGAAAAGCAGCAGGUUAAUACCCCGCUGUUCUGACGGUACCCAAAGAAUAAGCACCGGCUAACUUCGUG